CGUUUAGGGGUAAACCUGAGAAACCCGAAAGGUCGAAGGGAGAAAUUCAUUCGCGUUUCGAGGUUGGCGUGAGACGAACGUGUGACGGAGACGGUUCGCCCGAUCUGCGCCUUUCGUUUUUCGAUCCGACCGCGAACGCGUGCACUUUUCUCCUGGUAGGACGUCGCGAUCCGUUGGGCGUCGAUCUACGGUCCGAGGUGGAGUCCGCGCGGUUUUUCCGUGCGAACCCUCGGUGUCCUGGCCGACUUGCUCGACGGUAUACGAACGGUCGAGGGCCGCUUUUAAAGCGUCCGACUCGUUGCAAGCACGCCUGAAGUAUCGAAUACCGGACCUAGCGCCGAUACCGAUCUCAGGUGGCUGUUGGCGACGAACGUCUCGGACAGACCCUCAAGACUGAUCUGCGACGCUAUAGCUUUGGGUAAUUUCAGGACCCGUCUUGAAACACGGACCAAGGAGUCUAGCAUGUGCGCGAGUCAUUGGGAAUCACUAAACCUAAAGGCGUAAUGAAAGUAAAGGUCCGUCUUGCACGGACCGAGGGAGGAUGGGCGGUUCGCCCUUAAAAGCGGCCGCUCCGCACUCCCGGGGCGUCUCGUUCUCAUUGCGAGAGGAGGCGCACCAAGAGCGUACACGCUGGGACCCGAAAGAUGGUGAACUAUGCCUGGUCANA
rnacentral:rRNA from 1 species